ACACGAUACCUGUGAUGGAGUUGAGCACCUCUUUGGAAAAGGAGGCGUCCACGGAGUUGCCGUGGCGAGUGACGGGCAGCGUCCCUGCGGCCACGACCCCUCCUACGCUGAGGUCGUCUCGGGAGCCCUGCAAGUCACAAGAAGACGUAGAUGAAAAUGAAGCUGUCACAGCCUGGAGAAGAUGCUCAUGGAGGUAGGCGGUCCAGUUCUUCUCACCUUGGUGGCGUAGCGUGCAUCCAGUGAGUGCUUGGCCAUGAGGGUCUUCAGGGUGGCCAAAGCCAGGUGCCUGAGGUCCUGCUCGUCCUGCAGGGCCAGCCCGAGCUCUCGCAACAGCAGUCCCGUCAUGAAAUGCUUCCUGCAGAACUCUCCGGUCAGGUUGUACUCGGGCACCGAGGCUGCGAUAGAGAAGAAAAAAUGUGAUCAGACACCGUCUCCACCAGCGUCUCCACACGGCUCUGGUAGGACGAGGGGAAACGCUGCGGCCUUGGAAGCUGACAAGAAAGACGCUAAGGUUACUCUUCGGUCAAAAGUCACGCCUUUGGCCAACUCCUCGUGCACCGUCCUGAAGCCGUGGGCCUCGGACUUGAACACGUACUACACACGGAGAACACACACGGAGAGCGCUGAAUAUUGUGCCAAUCUGUUACCACGGCAACAGCAGCUCCGUCAGCCUUGCUGCAAAGUCCUCCUCCAUUUGUCUCCGCCACAAAUUCCCUCGCAGUUUUACAACACUGACGCCGACAAGGAAAUAUGAUUGUGGUCUUUCUGACUGAGACAAUGUCCCGCAAACAAAGACGUGUGUGAAGUCGUGGUGUCAUGCAAGGAUCAUAUGACAUCCCACACAUGCCAGCAUACCUUAAUAUAGGAGUGCAGAUAAUGAUCAAGGUUCUCAUCAUGGCACUUGGAAACAAUGUGGACCAGCACUCUGCAAACACAAACAAGAAUGAAGCUACGAAAUUGGAAGUGCAUAGUGGUGCAGGAUUACGCUACAUGACAUAGACCAGGGGUGGGCAAACUACGGCCCGGGGGCCACAUGCGGCGCGCCAAGCAUUUGAAUCUGGCCCGCCAGUUGCUUUGAGACCCUGGAAGAGGGUGGAAGAGAGGCAGGAGGAAAAAGGGAGCGAGUACAACCAGUAAAAAAAAGGCUCGCCACCGCAAAAUGAAGUCUGACAUACGAUGAAAACAAGAAGACGAAUGCGGGCGGAGACCAUGGCCCCUCAUCUUCUACCACCAUUUGUGAUUUUUCACACCAUCAGCGUCCUUGAUUUUUCAUUUCUUCAGCAGGAUUGACCUUUAACUGAGACCAUGUAUGAAAACUGGGGCGGAACUUUCAUUGAAAACCAAGGAGAGCACAGGCCGUUCUCCUGAGCUCCUGAACCAGUGCCCGCACUGCAUGACCCGUUACUGAGGCCCCCCAGCAUCUGACGAACGGCCUCCUGGUUGAGGUCCACGUGGAAGUCAGCAGAUACCUUCCUCCCAUCUCUUAUAUCCAACAGUGCUAACGACACGAAGAAAGGCUCAAUCUGGUGGAAGACAGGGUGGCAGUGCGGCAAAGAAAAGGAAAGCCAACACCAUGGAAGUGAAAAUGAACAUCAUAAAAAGAUCUGAUAAACCAGAAAUGCUGAGUAAUAUUUUUGGAUUAAGGAUCUAACGAAGGCUACCAGGGUCAUGGAUUCUGUGUGCUGCUACACAAGACAUUAUCCUUCCAGACUAGACUCUCGGAAUAUUUUCUAAUAUAAUAUUCAUUCAUCCAUCCGUAGCUUCCUGCAACUAUUUCUCACCCUGGCGAUGGUCGGACAGGUCCAGACUCUUGCGGUCCGGAGCGGGUCCGUCGUGAGGCGUGAUCUGCAAGAUGCGCGUCAAGGUGCUGAUCCACUCCUCCAUAUCUUGCUCGGUCUCGGCGGCCAACACAAAGUACGUGACCUCGUUCAUCUUCAGCUCAAAGGCGUGCUUCCUUAGACGAUUAUUCUAGAAAUGAUCAGGUCGUUUAUGUGUUAAUUAAAAACACCACGUCUGAUGUCUUGACUUGAAUUGAUGACUUGUAGCGUACCUGCACCACGCCAGUGCAGGAGUCGAGAAAGAUGCAACCUUUGGGUUCCUUGGAGAUCUUCUCGUCCUUGUAGAAGUUCAUGAUGUAAGAGUUGUCUGUCAACUGAGUCAGCUGGAAGUAUCUCCUCUUGAAUGACUUGCAACGACAUCGAGACGCGAUUGUCACAUUUCAUUCAUCAUUUGACGUGGAACAGAAACGCGGGUCUGUUCGUUAGCGGGGUUGAAUCCUACGUAGACCAGGGAACACUAAGCUAAACAUCCAACACGGACCUGGACCUAGACCUAGGCUGUAAUUUUUUAAAGCGUUUUUAUGGCCUUAAAAUGGGUGCUUGCAAUAAAUUAAAACAGUUUAGGAAAUCCAAAGAGUCUGGAAGAUCUAGAAAGCUUUAUGUAGCUGCUCUAUAAGAGUCCAUAACUCAAUACAGGCGUGGAAAAUGAGCAAAAUAGAUGAUGAUGAUGCGACUCAGCCAAUUAAAUCUGAGUGAAACUACGGCUUAAAAGUUUGGGACGACUUGGAAUUUUUUUUGUCCGGUCUGAGAUCUGGCUUUUUCUUGGCAGUCCUGCCAUGAAGUCCAGUAUCCCGAAGUGCCCGCUUCAUUGUUGAUACUGACACUGGUGUUUGACGGCGACUAUUUAGUGCUUUAGUGACGACUUGUGAGGCGUCUUUGUCUUAAACCACACACUCUCAGAUAUUUGCGCAGCGUUUUUAUAUCCUUGUUAGACCCGGUUUGUGCUGCUCUCCGAAAUGAGGCUUGACAGUUGUUGAUAGUAGGCCUCUAUGCAAAAAUGUACUUCCUUCUUUCUAAAUCAUCUAAUUCAUUUUCAUUGUUUAUGAAAUGGAAAAAUGAAUGAAAUUCUAGCGCACUUCAGGAAAACAAUCCUCACCCGCACGGUGAUACUGUUGUUGACGGUGCUGUUAAAGUUGCCCUUGUAGAGCCAGCCGGACCGAAACACUCCAACUCCUCCUCCGCCUCCUCCCCCGCUUCCUCCUCCUCCACCGCCGCCGCCGCCGCCUCCUUUGGAGGACGACAGAGACGUGGUAUCCUGUAAAAGGACGCGUAAAGUCCAACCUCAGUCAGCGGAUCGAUGCGAUGGAAGUCGGCCGUUUGUCAACACUGACGAGGCUGCACUUGAGUACGUCGUAACAGCAUGAAGGCUUCCACUUAAACUGAUUUGAGCGUCAUAACGCCGGGACGCCGCCGGCAUCUAAAAGGCAUUUGUCAGAAGACUGAAGCCAUUACCGACCUCAUCUUUGUCCACGUCCUCAUAGUCGAUCUCAAAGGAAUGGGAAGGCAGCUUCUCCGCUUUGUAUAAUUUCCUACAAAGGACCAAAGCAGGAGACAAUAUUGAUGCGGAACGCCGGUGAUGAAGUACGCAAAGAGUUAACUUGAUUAAUCCUCCCUGGAGCAGACCCUUUGGCUUCAGAGUCAACAGUAGAUAAGCUGACGCUUUGUUUAGUGUGCAAAAAUGGCCGCGCCGGCGCUAAAGGUCACGUGGCUGUCGAAAAUAAUGGCCGCAGUCGGAGGAUUUGCGGCCACGGCGGGCUGACGCAAGAAUGCUCAGACUGGCAGACGCAGACGAAUCUUAGCGGAAACCACCAAAUGCGUACAGGAGCCGCAUAUUUCCAGUAUGGAUGUCAUUGUUGAUGCGGGGGAAACGUUGCAUAAACGUGAAAUCUUAUUCUAUGCAUUUCGGUCUUUGAUCCACACGGGUCCAAAGACACCAAAGACUACUUUAGAGUUGGGACACUAUGGACAGAUUCCGGAUUGACAAUCUUUUAAUCGUCUUUAUUUCGUGUGUGUGUGUGGUUUAUCGGUUCAUAGGACGCACGCAGAACGAUGAACAACUCUGUAUCUGUCUCCUUGUCUUCUCCUUGGGGCGGUUUAAGGACACUGUGUAUUUUUGAGUGUUGGAUAAAUCUCUGCUUUAUUUCAAUGAUAAAAAUUAAGUUCCGCUGUACUUACUUUUGAUUGCAAAUAUUUUUUUGCUGACUAUAUUGUCAAUGCUGGAAAACAGGAAGUUAUAUAUAUACAUCACUAUAUUGACAGUUACUAUGGUACCCAUUAUGUCAUUGUAUGGUCAUAUCACCGAGUACUUCGGUAUGUGACAAAAAAUUUAAAAAAUUUAAAAAAUAAAAACAACAAUAAAAUAAAAAUUAAUUAAAUUAUUUAAAAACAAAAAAAACAAAACGUAAACUAUAUUAGGAAGGCAGGAAGUGAACAAAUGUAUCAGUUAGUGAUUGUAAAAGUAUCAGAUGGAGGGGUAGGAUUUAAUAAGCUUUGCUUCUUCCUACUCCUUUUGGACAUGUGGAACUGGGAACUGAUUAUGGGAUGCACUCAAUUGGAAU